GCUCAGAAAGUCUCGACGAGGAAAUGAGUAGAACCCAAACUCAUCGGCUGUGUCUCUGAGACGUGCCUAAUCGCCGAGGCCCCUUCUGGGCCAAACUGAAAAGAGGACUCUAGAUUAAGAACUGACCAGAUGGCAGAAUUCAGCUGCUGGCCGUUCUACCCCACGCCUGCCCUUGGCUGCCGUUCCCUGGGAGCGGAUCAAACACCGAAGAGUCACCGAGGCAAAGGUGAAGACACAGACAAAGAGACUUGACCAAGGUCAGGACCCCAGACACAGGACCCUCCGUGAAAGCCUGCCUGGCUGUGCUCCAGGGAGACAACGACCAGGGCCAUGCAACCAGAAGAUUCCAGUCCUGUUCAU